rnacentral:rRNA from 1 species
UACAGGGGGGGCAAGCGUUGUUCGGAAUUACUGGGCGUAAAGCGUGCGUAGGUGGUUUUUUAAGUCCGUUGUGAAAGCCCUGGGCUCAACCUGGGAAUGGCAGUGGAUACUGGAAAGCUAGAGUGCGGUAGAGGGUAGUGGAAUUCCCGGUGUAGCAGUGAAAUGCGUAGAGAUCGGGAGGAACACCAGUGGCGAAGGCGGCUACCUGGACCAGCACUGACACUGAGGCACGAAAGCGUGGGGAGCAAACAGG